AACGAACGCUGGCGGCAUGCCUAACACAUGCAAGUCGAACGAGAUCUUCGGGUCUAGUGGCGCACGGGUGCAUAACGCGUGGGAAUCUGCCCUUUGGUUCGGAAUAACAGUUGGAAACGACUGCUAAUACCGGAUGAUGACGAAAGUCCAAAGAUUUAUCGCCAGAGGAUGAGCCCGCGUAGGAUUAGCUAGUUGGUGUGGUAAAGGCGCACCAAGGCGACGAUCCUUAGCUGGUCUGAGAGGAUGAUCAGCCACACUGGGACUGAGACACGGCCCAGACUCCUACGGGAGGCAGCAGUGGGGAAUAUAGGACAAUGGGCGAAAGCCUGAUCCAGCAAUGCCGCGUGAGUGAUGAAGGCCUUAGGGUUGUAAAGCUCUUUUACCCGGGAUGAUAAUGACAGAACCGGGAGAAUAAGCUCCGGCUAACUCCGUGCCAGCCGCCGCGGUAA
rnacentral:rRNA from 1 species